ensembl:lncRNA novel transcript
GCCCUUCCUCUGACUGUGUCUUGAUUUCCUAUUCUGAGAGGCUAUUGCUCAGCGGUUUCCGUGGCAACAGUAAAGCGUGGGAAUUACAGAUAAAUUAAAACUGUGGAACCCCUUUCCUCGGCUGCCGCCAAGGUGUUCGGUCCUUCCGAGGAAGCUAAGGCCGCGUUGGGGUGAGACCCUCACUUCAUCCGCUCUAAAACCAGCUCCAUCACUUGAAAUGGCAAAAUAAAUCAUGAAUGAGGCCGGGGGCUGUGGCUCACACCUGUAAUCCCAGCACUCUGGGGGGCCGAGGCAGGCAGAUCACGAGGUCAGGAGAUCGAGACCAUCCUGGCUAACAUGGUGUAAGGGAGGAGACCACCCCUCAUAUUGUCUUAUGCCCAAUUUCUGCCUCCAAAGAAAGAAAAAGUAAAAACUAAAGGGCAGAAAUGACAUCCACAAGCAGACACCCCAGGUGCCACACCCUGGGCCUGGUAGUUAAAAAUCAACCCCUGACCUGAUUGGUAUGUUAUCUAUAGAUUACAGACAUUGUAUAGAAAAGCACUGUGACAAUGCCUUUCCUGUUUUGUUCCGAUCUAGUUACUGGUGCAUGCAGCCCCCAGUCACGUACCCCCUGCUUGCUCAAUUGAUCACGACCCUCUCACGUGCACCCCCUUAGAGUUGUGAGCCCUUAAAAGGGACAGGAAUUGCUCACUCGGGGAGCUUGGCUCUUGAGACCGGAGUCUUGCCGAUGCCCCUGGCCUAAUAAACCCCUUCCUUCUUUAACUCGGUGUCUGAUAAGUUUUGUCUGCAGCUCGAUUUCUUGGUUCCCUGACUGGGAAGCGAGGUGAAUGGCGGAUGGUCAAGGCAGCUCCUUAGGCGGCUUAAACCUGCCCUGUGGAACAUCCCUGCAGGGGACUCCAACCAGCCCGAGCAACACGGAUCCUGAGGGCGCUCCUGGUUAGGCAUUUGCCCCACUGGGACGCCUCGCCAGAGCACUGUAUGGCAGGCCCCCAUGGAGGAUCAACGCAGUGGCUGAACACCGGGAAGGAACGGGCACUUGGAGUCUGGACAUCUAAAACUUGGCAGAGGACCCUGCGGCCUUCCGCAGUGUUUGUGUCCCUGGGUACUUGAGAUUAGGGAGUGGUGAUGACUCUUAACGAGCAUGCUGCCUUCAAGUAUCUGUGAUGUGAGGAGCGCCUCUGCCCGGCCGCGACCCCGUCUGGGAGGUGAGGAGCAUCUCUGCCCGGCCGCCCCGUCUGAGAAGUGAGGAGACCCUCUACCUGGCAACCGCCCCGUCUGAGAAGUGAGGAGCCCCUCCGCCUGGCAGCCACCCCGUCUGGGAAGUGAGGAGCGUCUCAGCCCGGCAGCCACCCCGUCCGGGAGGGAGAGUCAUUCUUAUAGAAGAGCAUCAGAGGAAGAUAAAAAAGAAUCCUCAAUGUCAGGCCCCUGAGCCCAAGCUAAGCCAUCAUAACCCUGUGACCUGCACAUAUACAUCCAGAUGGCCUGAAGCAACUGAAGAACCAUAAACGUGAAAUAGCCAGUUCCUGCCUUAACUGAUGACAUUCCACCAUUGUGAUUUGUUCCUGCUCCACCCUAACUGAUCAAUUGAUCUUGUGACAUUCCUUCUCCUGGACAAUGAGUCUCAGGAGCUCCUCACCAAGCACCUUGUUACCCCCACCCCUGCCCACAAGAGAAAACGCACGUUAACUGUAAUUUUUCCACUACCUACCCAAAUCCUAUAAAACUGCCCCACCCCAUCUCCUUUUGCUGACUCCAGGUGAUUAAAAAACUAUUGCUCACACA